UACGGGGGGGGCAAGCGUUGUUCGGAAUUACUGGGCGUAAAGGGCGCGUAGGCGGCCACCGCAAGUCGAUUGUGAAAUCUCCGGGCUUAACUCGGAAAGGUCAACCGAUACUGCGGGGCUAGAGUGCAGAAGGGGCAACUGGAAUUCUCGGUGUAGCGGUGGAAUGCGUAGAUAUCGAGAGGAACACCUGCGGCGAAGGCGGGUUGCUGGGCUGACACUGACGCUGAUGUGCGAAAGCUAGGGGAGCGAACGGG
rnacentral:rRNA from 1 species